ACGGCGCACGGGUGCGUAACACGUGGGUAACCUGCCCUUUGGUGGGGAAUAACCUCGCGAAAGCGAGGCUAGUUCCGCAUAAUAUCCGCAAGGAUGAAAGCCGCAAGGCGCCGAAGGAGGGGCCCGCGCACGAUUAGUUAGUUGGUAUGGUAACGGCCUACCAAGACUAUGAUCGUUA
rnacentral:rRNA from 1 species